GAUGAACGCUGGCGGCGUGCCUAAUACAUGCAAGUCGAGCGAAUGGAUUAAGAGCUUGCUCUUAUGAAGUUAGCGACGGACGGGUGAGUAACACGUGGGUAACCUGCCCAUAAGACUGGGAUAACUCCGGGAAACCGGGGCUAAUACCGGAUAAAAUUUUGAACCGCAUGGUUCGAAAUUGAAAGGCGGCUUCGGCUGGCACUUAUGGAUGGACCCGCGUCGCAUUAGCUAGUUGGUGAGGUAACGGCUCACCAAGGCAACGAUGCGUAGCCGACCUGAGAGGGUGAUCGGCCACACUGGGACUGAGACACGGCCCAGACUCCUACGGGAGGCAGCAGUAGGGAAUCUUCCGCAAUGGACGAAAGUCUGACGGAGCAACGCCGCGUGAGUGAUGAAGGCUUUCGGGUCGUAAAACUCUGUUGUUAGGGAAGAACAAGUGCUAGUUGAAUAAGCUGGCACCUUGACGGUACCUAACCAGAAAGCCACGGCCAACUACGUGCCAGCCGCCGCGGUAA
rnacentral:rRNA from 1 species